rnacentral:misc_RNA from 1 species
AAAAUGCGAUAAGUAAUGUGAAUUGCAGAAUUCAGUGAAUCAUCGAAUCUUUGAACGCACAUUGCGCCCGCCAGUAUUCUAGCGGGCAUGCCUGUUCGAGCGUCAUUUCAACCCUCAAGCCCCCGGGUUUGGUGUUGGGGAUCGGGCUGCGGUUCUACCGCGUCCCGGCCCCGAAAUCUAGUGGCGGUCUCGCUGCAGCCUCCAUUGCGUAGUAGCUAACACCUCGCAACUGGAACGCGGCGCGGCCAAGCCGUUAAACCCCCAACUUCUGAAUGUUGACCUCGGAUCAGGUAGGAAUACCCGCUGAACUUAAGC